CCUCGGUAUUGAUCUCCUUGAUCUGUCCUGGGAUCUGAGACCUAGAACUGGCUAAGUUUUGGAGUCUUGCAUUCUUGCAAAAGGUAUCCUUCCCAAACCCCAGGGUACACAUCUGAAUCCCAUAACACUAGGAAGCAGUUGAUGUCCAGAGGGAGCUCCAGCUCUCAGCUGGAGAGUUUGCAUAGAAACCUUUUGGCACCCAGAAGAAAGAGUGAAACCCCAGGGGGUACACAUUGACCCCCAUAACAUUUUGAUGCCCAACGUUUUUGGUUUUCCUGAAAGCUCCUCCUGUACUCUGGAUCAUCCACGAGGACACAGCUUCUCAGGUAGGAAGGAGCCUUUUCUUUGACUCCUGAAAUCCCCAUUUUUUGGGUAAUAUCUUUGUGGGAACUCUUUCCUGCUCUUUCUCCCAUCGGCCUCAGAUUAGUCUGGCAGCUGGAGUUUGGGGUCUGUCUGUUGGCGCCGCCUUAUACUGGAAGACUAGUUCUAGUUGUGUGGGAAGUCUUGCCGCCUCGGUGUUCAACUGAGUG
rnacentral:lncRNA from 1 species